GAUGAACGCUGGCGGCGUGCCUAAUACAUGCAAGUCGAGCGAACAGACGAGGAUCUUGCUCCUCUGACGUUCGCGGCGGACGGGUGUGUAACACGUGGAUAACCUACCUAUAUGACUGGGAUAACUUCGGGAAACCGGUGCUAAUACCGGCUAAUCUUUUGAACCGCAUUGUUCAAUAGUGUCAGCCGGUUUUUCUGUCCCUUUUAGAUGUAUCCGCUCCGCAUUAGCUAGUUGGUAAGGUAACGGCUUACCAAGGCGACGAUGCGUAGCCGACCUGAGCGGAUGAUCGGCCACACUGGAACUGAGACACGGUCCAGACUCCUACGGGAGGCAGCAGUAGGGAAUCUUCCGCAAUGGGCGAAAGCCUGACGGAGCAACGCCGCGUGAGUGAUGAAGGUCUUCGGAUCGUAAAACUCUGUUAGUAGGGAAGAACAAAUGUGUAAGAAACUAUGCACGUAUUGACGGUACCUAAACAGAAAGCAACGGCUAACUACGUG
rnacentral:rRNA from 1 species